rnacentral:rRNA from 1 species
AGAGUUUGAUCAUGGCUCAGAUUGAACGCUGGCGGCAGGCCUAACACAUGCAAGUCGAGCGGUAGCACAGAGAGCUUGCUCUCGGGUGACGAGCGGCGGACGGGUGAGUAAUGUCUGGGAAACUGCCUGAUGGAGGGGGAUAACUACUGGAAACGGUAGCUAAUACCGCAUAAUGUCGCAAGACCAAAGUGGGGGACCUUCGGGCCUCAUGCCAUCAGAUGUGCCCAGAUGGGAUUAGCUAGUAGGUGGGGUAACGGCUCACCUAGGCGACGAUCCCUAGCUGGUCUGAGAGGAUGACCAGCCACACUGGAACUGAGACACGGUCCAGACUCCUACGGGAGGCAGCAGUGGGGAAUAUUGCACAAUGGGCGCAAGCCUGAUGCAGCCAUGCCGCGUGUGUGAAGAAGGCCUUCGGGUUGUAAAGCACUUUCAGCGGGGAGGAAGGCGAUAAGGUUAAUAACCUUGUCGAUUGACGUUACCCGCAGAAGAAGCACCGGCUAACUCCGUGCCAGCAGCCGCGGUAAUACGGAGGGUGCAAGCGUUAAUCGGAAUUACUGGGCGUAAAGCGCACGCAGGCGGUCUGUCAAGUCGGAUGUGAAAUCCCCGGGCUCAACCUGGGAACUGCAUUCGAAACUGGCAGGCUAGAGUCUUGUAGAGGGGGGUAGAAUUCCAGGUGUAGCGGUGAAAUGCGUAGAGAUCUGGAGGAAUACCGGUGGCGAAGGCGGCCCCCUGGACAAAGACUGACGCUCAGGUGCGAAAGCGUGGGGAGCAAACAGGAUUAGAUACCCUGGUAGUCCACGCCGUAAACGAUGUCGAUUUGGAGGUUGUGCCCUUGAGGCGUGGCUUCCGGAGCUAACGCAUUAAAUCGACCGCCUGGGGAGUACGGCCGCAAGGUUAAAACUCAAAUGAAUUGACGGGGGCCCGCACAAGCGGUGGAGCAUGUGGUUUAAUUCGA